GUGUCAGCCGCCGCGGUAAUACGGAGGGUGCAAGCGUUAUCCGGAUUUACUGGGUUUAAAGGGUGCGUAGGUGGGUUGGUAAGUCAGUGGUGAAAUACUUUCGCUUAACGAAGGAACUGCCAUUGAUACUACCAGUCUUGAAUACAGUGGAGGUAGGCGGAAUGCGUCAUGUAGCGGUGAAAUGCUUAGAUAUGACGCAGAACACCAAUUGCGAAGGCAGCUUGCUACACUGUUAUUGACACUGAGGCACGAAAGCGUGGGGAUCAAACAGGAUUAGAUACCCCUGUAGUCC
rnacentral:rRNA from 1 species